rnacentral:rRNA from 1 species
AGAAUCAACGCUGGCGGCGUGCCUAACACAUGCAAGUCGAACGAGAAAGUGGAGCAAUCCGAAUGAGUAAAGUGGCGCACGGGUGAGUAACACGUGACUAACCUACCCUUGAGUGGGGAAUAACUUCGGGAAACCGAGGCUAAUACCGCAUAACGACCUACGGGUCAAAGGAGCAAUUCGCUUAAGGAGGGGUCGCGGCAGAUUAGUUAGUUGGCGGGGUAAUGGCCCACCAAGACAGUGAUCUGUA